AUUGAACGCUGGCGGAAUGCUUUACACAUGCAAGUCGAACGGUAGAGGGGGCAACCCCUCGAGAGUGGCGAACGGGUGAGUAAUAUAUCGGAACGUGCCCAGUCGUGGGGGAUAACGUAGCGAAAGUUACGCUAAUACCGCAUACGAUCUAAGGAUGAAAGCGGGGGAUCGCAAGACCUCGCGCGAUUGGAGCGGCCGAUAUCAGAUUAGGUAGUUGGUGGGGUAAAGGCUCACCAAGCCAACGAUCUGUAGCUGGUCUGAGAGGACGACCAGCCACACUGGAACUGAGACACGGUCCAGACUCCUACGGGAGGCAGCAGUGGGGAAUUUUGGACAAUGGACGCAAGUCUGAUCCUGCCAUUCCGCGUGCAGAAUGAAGGCCCUCGGGUUGUAAACUGCUUUUGUACGGAACGAAAAGGUCUCUCUUAAUACGGGGGACACAUGACGGUACCGUAAGAAUAAGCACCGGCUAACUACGUGCCAGCCGCCGCCGUAAAAC
rnacentral:rRNA from 1 species